ensembl:lncRNA
GUGGGGUGUGGAGGUGGUGUAGUGGUGUGUGGAGGUGUGUGGUGGGGUGUGGAGGUGGUGUAGUGGUGUGUGGAGGUGUGUGGUGGGGUGUGGAGGUGGUGUAGUGGUGUGUGGAGGUGGUGUAGUGGUGUGUGGAGGCGUGUGGAGGUGGUGUAGUGGUGUGUGGAGGCGUGUGGAGGUGUUGUAGUGGGGUGUGGAGGUGGUGUAGUGGUGUGUGGAGGUGGUGUAGUGGUGUGUAGAGGUGUGUAGUGGUGUGUGGAGGUGUGUAGUGGUGUGUGGAGGUGGUGUAGUGGUGUGUGGAGGUGUGUAGUGGUGUGUGGAGGUGGUGUAGUGGGGUGUGGAGGCGUGUGGAGGUGUUGUAGUGGGGUGUGGAGGUGGUGUAGUGGUGUGUGGAGGUGGUGUAGUGGUGUGUGGAGGUGGUGUAGUGGUGUGUGGAGGUGGUGUAGUGGUGUGUGGAGGUGUGUAGUGGUGUGUGGAGGUGGUGUAGUGGUGUGUGGAGGUGUGUAGUGGUGUGUGGAGGUGGUGUAGUGGUGUGUGGAGGUGUGUAGUGGGGUGUGGAGGUGGUGUAGUGGUGUGUGGUGGGGUGUGGAGGUGGUGUAGUGGUGUGUGGAGGUGUGUAGUGGUGUGUGGAGGCGGUGUAGUGGUGUGUGGAGGCGUGUGGAGGCGGUGUAGUGGUGUGUGGAGGCGUGUGGAGGUGGUGUAGUGGUGUGUGGAGGCGUGUGGAGGUGUUGUAGUGGGGUGUGGAGGUGGUGUAGUGGUGUGUAGUGGUGUGUGGAGGUGUGUGGUGGUGUGUGGAGGCGUGUGGAGGUGGUGUAGUGGGGUGUGGAGGUGUGUAGUGGUGUGUGGAGGUGGUGUAGUGGGGUGUGGAGGUGGUGUAGUGGUGUGUGGAGGUGGUGUAGUGGUGUGUGGAGGCGUGUGGAGGUGGUGUAGUGGUGUGUGGAGGUGGUGUAGUGGUGUGUGGAGGUGGUGUAGUGGUGUGUGGAGGUGUGUAGUGGGGUGUGGAGGUGGUGUAGUGGUGUGUGGAGGCGUGUGCAGGUGGUGUAGUGGUGUGUGGAGGCGUGUGGAGGUGGUGUAGUGGUGUGUGGUGGUGGUGUAGUGUGGAGGUGGUGUAGUGUGGAGGUGGUGUAGUGGGGUGUGGUGGUGUGUGGAGGUGGUGUAGUGGGGUGUGGGUG